GGNCANCGNUGCACGCCCUCUGGCCCCACCUCNCACCNGCCUGUUUAUUUUACCUUUCUGCUUCCGCCGGCCCGCCUCUACUUGCCGCCGGGGGCCUCACGCCCCCACGCCCACCCCCUCCGAAAACACCCUCGCACUCUGUCUUAAGAUUAAAGUCUAAGUGAAAAUAAUAAAUUAUUUAAAACUUUCAACAACGGAUCUCUUGGUUCCGGCAUCGAUAAAGAACGCGUCGAAAUCCGAUACGUAAUGUGAAUUGCAAAUUCAGUGAAUCAUCGAGCCUUUUAACGCUCAUUGCGCCCCCUGGUAUUCCGGGGGGCAUCCCUGUUCGAGCCUCAUUGCUGCCCUCAAGCCCGGCUUGUGUGUUGGGCCCCGUCCCCCGAUCUCCGGGGGACGGGCCCGAAAGGCUGCGGCGGCACUNCGUCCGGUCCUCGAGCGGUAUGGGGCUUUGUCACCCGCUCUGUAGGCCNGGCCGGCGCUUGCCGAUGAACCCAAAUUUUUAUCCAGGUNGACCUCGGAUAGGUAGGGAACCCGCUGAACUUAAGCAUAUCAUAGGCGGAGAA
rnacentral:rRNA from 1 species